rnacentral:rRNA from 1 species
UACGAAGGGGGCUAGCGUUGCUCGGAAUCACUGGGCGUAAAGCGCACGUAGGCGGAUUGCUAAGUCAGGGGUGAAAUCCUGGAGCUCAACUCCAGAACUGCCUUUGAUACUGAAGAUCUUGAGUUCGGGAGAGGUGAGUGGAACUGCGAGUGUAGAGGUGAAAUUCGUAGGAUAUUCGCAAGAACACCAGUGGCGAAGGCGGCUCACUGGCCCGAUACUGACGCUGAGGCACGAAAGCGUGGGGAGCAAACAGG